GGAAGUAAAAGUCGUAACAAGGUUUCCGUAGGUGAACCUGCGGAAGGAUCAUUACCGAGUGAGGGCCCUCUGGGUCCAACCUCCCACCCGUGUUUAUUUUACCUUGUUGCUUCGGCGGGCCCGCCUUAACUGGCCGCCGGGGGGCUCACGCCCCCGGGCCCGCGCCCGCCGAAGACACCCUCGAACUCUGUCUGAAGAUUGAAGUCUGAGUGAAAAUAUAAAUUAUUUAAAACUUUCAACAACGGAUCUCUUGGUUCCGGCAUCGAUGAAGAACGCAGCGAAAUGCGAUACGUAAUGUGAAUUGCAAAUUCAGUGAAUCAUCGAGUCUUUGAACGCACAUUGCGCCCCCUGGUAUUCCGGGGGGCAUGCCUGUCCGAGCGUCAUUGCUGCCCUCAAGCCCGGCUUGUGUGUUGGGCCCCGUCCUCCGAUUUCCGGGGGACGGGCCCGAAAGGCAGCGGCGGCACCGCGUCCGGUCCUCGAGCGUAUGGGGCUUUGUCACCCGCUCUGUAGGCCCGGCCGGCGCUUGCCGAUCAACCCAAAUUUUUUAUCCAGGUUGACCUCGGAUCAGGUAGGGAUACCCGCUGAACUUAAGCAUAUCAAUAAGCGGAGGA
rnacentral:misc_RNA from 1 species